rnacentral:rRNA from 1 species
AUUGAACGCUGGCGGCAGGCUUAACACAUGCAAGUCGAACGAGUGGCGGACGGGUGAGUAAUGCCUUGGAAACUACCUGCUGGAGGGUGAUAACUACUGGAAACUGUAGCUAAUACCGCCUACCAUCGGAUGUGCCCAAGUGGGAUUAGCUAGUUGGUGAGGUAAAGGCUCACCAAGCCGACGAUCCCUAGCUGGUCUGAGAGGAUGACCGGCCACACUGGGACUGAGACACGGUCCAGAGUCCUACGGGAGGCAGCAGUGGGGAAUAUGGCGCAAUGGGGGCAAGCCUGAAACAGCCAUGCCGCGUGAAUGAAGAAGGCCUUCGGGUUGUAAAGUACUGUCAGUAGGGAGGCGUUAACUGAAGAAGAAGCACCGGCUAACUCCGUGCCAGCAGCCGCGGUAAUAC